AAAAUUUCAGCUAGGUUAUUCCUUGCAAGUAAGUGAUUUUAAUGACUUUUUUUGCUGAUUUUUACAUUUUUGGGACCACUAAAGCUUAAUCUAGCUAUUGAGGGGACUAUUUUGCAAAAUGGUUGAGAGUUUAAGGUUUUUCCAUGAAAGAAUGUGUGUUAUUAACUGAAAUUUUAUGGAAGAAUACGAGUCUUGGCUGUGUAAUAAACAACUCUUGUGAAAGGAUUUUUAUGGAAAACACCUAAAAGGGUCAUUUUGUGAAAGUUAUAAAACAGAUUGUAAUUGUGUGAAAUAGUGAAAAUUUUGGGUUGUCAUAAGACUAAUAAUUGGUCGGUUAGGCUUGGCUAAUAAGGAAAUUUGAUAAAAAAUUGAUUUCCGGGCCUAAGGGUAAAAUGGUCAUUUUAUGAAAGUCUAGAGGCAAAAUGGUCAUUUUGCCAAAAAUGUGAAUUUUGAUUGUCCAAAUUUAUUUAGUGAUUAAAUGAGUAAAUAUCAUCAUUUUAGAUCAUGAAAAUCGAGAUUUGGGCUUAAAUCGAGAAAGUACGUAGUUAAGGACAAAAAGAGAAUAAUUAGCUGAAAUUGCAUUUGAGGUAAGUCCGUGUGAUUAAAUGAGCACGAUAUUUAUGCCAUUGUUAUUAUACUUGAAAAUCUAUCUUGCCAUGAUUGUAUUAAAGUUUAUGUUGAUGAUAUUGUAUAUGAGAAAGUGAUGUCAAAUGUAAAUAACACUUAUGUGUUGAUUGAAUGUUUGGAUAUUUGAUGGAAUAUGAUAUUCCAUUGAAACGAGUAAGUUGUAUGUAAAUAAUACUACAUUGUUAUUAUAUGUGUUUAAAUUGAUAUAGCAUGAAUUGCUUGGUUGUGGAAAUGAUUAUGUAUGAUGAAUAUUGAUAUAGUAGAAUUCCCAUUGAACCUUAAGAAACAAUUCGGAUGUUCAUGCCAUGACAUUCGGGUUAUUUGUGUGCUAGUGUAAGACAUGUCUUGGACAUGCAUCGGCCACAUUAUGAGAGCCAAUGUAAGACCAUAUCUGGGACAUGGCAUCGGCAUUGAGAUGAGACCUAGUGUAAGACAUGUCUGGGACAUGCAUCGGCCUCGAGAUGUAAGCCAAUGUAAGACAUGUUUGGGACAUGCAUCAGCUACGAUAUGUGUCAGUGUAAGACCAUGUUUGGGACAUGGAAUCGGCACGGAUAUGUGAGAGUUAGUGUAAGACCAUGUCUGGGACAUGGCAUCGACAUUAUACCCUAUAUUUGAGGCUUAGUGAAUAUCCGAUAGCUUUCUGAAUGGUUCAACGGUGAGAGUUACGGUUUAAGCUAAAUGAGAAAGGUUAUGACCAUAUUGUGAGUGGUACAGGUACUUACAUGAAAUUGAUGAGAUGUGAAUUCAAUUCAUGUUAUAUGAUUAGUAAGGAAUGAAUAUGAGCAUGUUGAGUAACACAAGUAUGUAUGCCAAGCUCAUGAGAAAUAAUUUCAGUUUAUGAUGCACAUUUGGUGAAGAUGUAAAUAGGUAAUUCAUGCCUAUGAGAAUGAUUUUGAGAUGACCUUGUGAUUAUAGGUCUACACUUAUGAUGUAUGAAUAUGUAGCCUUACCAAUGUGGUGAAAACGAAUUAAUAUGGUGUGAUAAACUUAGUAUCAUUAAUUUACACUAAAACAGUUUUGGAUAGCAGCCAUAAUUCGACUUUAAAAAUCCACCAAAAAUUUUGAAAAUUGAGUUAGAGGCUGAAUAAAAUAUUAAAUUAAAUCCCUAUGAGUCUAGUUUCACAUAGAAGAAGCGGUGUAAGAAAAAGAGUUUCAUAUUAUGAAAUAUUUAAAUUGUUGUGAGAUAGAGUCAGAAUGACUUCGAAAUCCCCUGUUCCGAUUUGAGAAAAUCAUUGGAAAUUGUAAAAAAAUAUUUAUGGGUUAUAAUUUAUAUGCUUAUAAUUCUUAAUGAGUCUAUUUUCAACAGAAAUAGAAGGGAACAUCAUCCGAGUCUUCUAUUAUGAGAUAAUUAAUUUUUAGUGAAGAGGGGUCGGAACUGUUAGACAACAAAAAAGGGGUAACUUUAAAGAAUAAACUGUACUAAUUGGCUGAACCAAAAAUUAUGAAAAUUUUAUGGUAAGAAUAUGUGAGUCUAGUUUCAGGGAAAAUUAGAAAAACUUAAUUUGGAGUUCCGUAGCUCCAGAUAUAAAUAAUUUAGUGACUGUGACUCGAGAAAACAGCUUGACUAGAACAUGAGUAAAAAUGCAAAUAGGGUUGUAUUACCAUGAGAAGCAAGUUGAUAAAUUGCUUAUUAUUUUCAUACGGUCUUACUAAGCUAUAAAGCUUACUCCCUUCAUUUCUUUCCUUUUAGUGUUUUUAGGUUAGCUCAGGGUUGGAGAUCGUCGGAGGCAGCAUCACACUAUCAAGUCGCUACCUUUGAAUAAUGAAGCAUAUAUUAGAAAUUUCAAGUGAGUGACAUGUAUAGGUAUUUAGUUGACUGACAUGUAUUAUUUUAAUUUGGCCAAAUGUGUUGGCUUAUAUUGAGUUAUAUGAAUAUGGCCAUGAGAUGUGGCUCAUAUUGAUUAUGGCUUGUAAGCUUAGCUAUUCAUGUCAUGUAUAAUGUUUAUAAUGUGACUAUGUUUGUUUGCCAUGCAUGGUUAGUAAUAUGACAUGUGUAUGGGAUGUAUGCUCUAUA
rnacentral:lncRNA from 1 species